ensembl:lncRNA STXBP5-AS1 STXBP5 antisense RNA 1
ACAGCAAAGAGGACAAAGAAAACAGCAAGUUUUAGGGGGUUGAAUCCUGGAUUCCCCUGGCAAACACCAUUCUACUUUCCGUCUCUAUGAAUUUGACUACUCGAAGUACCUCAUGUGAAAUGUUGGUGCCAAAUGAACUUUUCUGGUUCUUCUGAAUAGACCCACAAAAGAAGAGAUACUGAGGAUGAAGAGAUCCUCCUAGCUUGGCGGAAUACUCUGCUCUGAUGGAAGUACCAUCCUGGUCCAAACAUGAAAGAAUUCCCAACAUCAAGAUUGAUUGAAACAUAUUCAAUGGAUCAUUUGCUCCAGAAGAAGCUGGUUGCCAUGUCUUGAGGACAGUAAACCCUCUGGGGAGGUUCCUGUGGUAAGGAACAAGGGCUCCUGGCAAUAGCCUCUGAGUGAGCCACCUUGAAAAUGGAUUGUCCAGCCCCAGUCAAGCUUUCAGAUGACUGUAGCUCCUGCCAAUGUCUUCACCACAACCUCAUGAGAUCCCAAGCUACAACCACUCAGAACUUCAUCUUUUGGGAAGCACCAGGGAGAGCUGCCUGUGCCUGGCAGAAGCUGCCCAUGCCCCACUGAUACCCCACAGUACUUCCUGUUCUGCUUAGUACUCCUGCUUCUUUCUACAAACAACUGUGAUUCUCUACCUGGGAGCUUCCUCUGGCCACAGGAGCCUGCUCACCUGAUUGGGACACCCUAGCAGUACUGGCUCAUAGAUGGAAGGGACUUGCCUUGUCGCUGAUGAGACUUUCGACUUGGACUUUUGAGUCAAUGCUGGAAUGAGUUAAGACUUUGGGGAACUGUUGGAAGGGUGUGAUUGUGUUUUGAAUUGUGAGGACAUGAGAUUUUGAAGAGGCUAAUGGCAGCGUCCCCACCUAAAUCUCUUCUUGAAUUGUAGUUCCCAUAAUCCCCACGUGUCGUGGGGUGGAGCCGGUGGAGAUAAUUGAAUCAUGGGAACACUUUCCCCCAUGCUGUUAUUGUGAUUGUGAAUUCUCACGAGAUCUGAUGGUUGUAUAAACGCCUUCCCUCUUCGCUGGGCACUCAUUUUUCUCCUUCCUGCCACCAUGUGAAGAAGGAUAUGCUUGCUUCUUGUGCCAUGAUUACAAGAACACACUCAGAAAUUUUCUCAACACAGUUUCUAUGCAGAGAAGAGAUGUGGGACAGAUUUGAACUGCUGUCAUAUUUGUAUGAACCCAAGACAUUUUCCAAGACCAAGAGGGAUAAAGACAGCAAUUUCUAUGACUGGCAUUUUACGUGCAUGCACUGUUUCCAAGUGUUCUUGUGUUCUGUGCCUUAAACAUUCUGUGUUGCAACUUUAUGAAUUGAAUUAAAGAUAAUCCCAAGCCCCCAAUUGUCUCAAAAAGUGAAAAAGUAAAUGUUAUAGAAAGAAAAGCGGGAAAAACUUUAAGCAUGAAAUAAAAGAUGGGUUGUGAUAAAAGAGGACUGAAGAAGGAAAAGGAAUGAAAGGUUCUGCCAUCCUUCAUGGCAGCCCACUCCACUUGGUAUGAGAUACUGCUCCCUUGGCUGAAAGUUAACUGCUGUACUCCCUCCACUUUCUAUAAAUGACUCCCUGUGCCUUUCCUUCACCACACAACUCACACUCUCUUCCUUCCUAGUGAGUCCACUAAGGCUUCACUGCAUUAUUACAUUUAUUUCAUUUAGGAAAAACUGACUUUAUUUUCCUUCAAAUUGUUUUUUAUUGUUUAUAUGAGCUUGGUUUUAUUGUCAUUCUAUUUUUCUCCAUGAAAAUAGAGAAAAAUAGGGUCGAAAGGUUAGGUUGGGUGGAAAGGAAUUAUAUUUUUUCUCACUAAAAUUGAUGUAAAUAUCGUUUUCAAUUGAAUGAUUUUACACAGUGGCACAGUUUCAGGUAUGUUGCUAAGCAGGAAAGUUGUUAACCAAAGCAUGAAUGUAUUAAGGAGAUGUAUGCAGAAUGACAUGCAAGGUUAUCUAUGAUUGCUGAGUGAGAAAGAGCAAGUUGCUGAGUAUUAUAUAAGUAUGAUCUCACUUUUGUAAAAAAAAAAAAAAAAAAAGGCCUGGACUGAUCUGAAAUGACCCUAUUAAUAACAAUUAUGUCCAGGUCUGUAUUGCAUACUUGUCAUUCAUUACAGGAUCUUGAGACACAAUGCAAAGGAUCACAUCGCAGCUCUGUAACUUGUUAACUAUAAGAUUUUGAGUAACAUAACACCUUACUCCUUAAAAUUGCUUAAAAAAAAUCUGAACAUCAGGAAUAUUCUACUUCACAGGGUCGUUGUGAUAAUUAAAUGUAGUAAUCAAUGACAAUAGUGCCAGAUACAGUAGAUAGCCUACACUUUGCAGCUACUAUUUCUAUCUAUCAUCCAUCUAUUAAUAUAUAUCAUCUAUCUUUAACUUAUCAUCUAUCUUGUUCCAGUUUUUUAAAAUGAACAUGUAUUAACUUUGUAAAAAAUUAAGGCUAUAAGAUGUGCUGAGCUUUUGGAAUAGAUUUUCCUGUAC